CCUACGGGAGGCAGCAGUGGGGAAUAUUGCACAAUGGGGGAAACCCUGAUGCAGCGACGCCGCGUGAGUGAAGAAGUACUUCGGAAUGUAAAGCUCUAUCAGCAGGGAAGAAGAUGACGGUACCUGAUUAAGAAGCACUGGCUAACUACGUGCAAGCAGCCGCGGUAAUACGUAGGGCGCAAGCGUUAUCCGGAGUUACUGGGUGUAAAGUGAGCGCAGACGGCAGUGCAAGGCUGGCGUGAAAGCGCGGUGCCCAACCACGGAACUGCGCUUGAAACUGGGCGGCUAGAGUACGGGAGGGGCAAGCGGAAUUCCAGGUGUAGGGGUGAAAUCCGUAGAUAUUAGGAGGAACAUCAGUGGCGAAGGCGACCAGCUGGACAAUAACUGACGUUGAGGAUCGAAAGCGUGGGGAGCAAACAGGAUUAGAUACCCCUGUAGUC
rnacentral:rRNA from 1 species